rnacentral:misc_RNA from 1 species
GCCAAUUUCAAUCAGUUCCAAAUAGGCAAAUACUAAAAGAAAAUCAAUUGUAGACCUUUAUAAUGUGAAAUUAAAAAGAAUGUGCUCACACAAAAUCAUAAUCUUUAGAGAUUCAAUUCCAAAUAUAUUGAAUUAUCAUUCACCUAGAGCCUAUAGUUUCAAUAUCAUCUUAAGGAAUCUUCACAACCACAAGCAUAUGCAGGUACAUAGAAAGUUCUAGCAUAUACGCAACUGACAGCAUUUCUGGAACAGCCAUAUUAAACUAAAGCUCAAUUAAUUUUUAGUGUUUCAGAAUUACACACACCCACCAGCUCAG